rnacentral:snRNA from 15 species
AUACUUACCUUCUUACACCUUCCCAAGAUCAAGCAUUUGGGGAGGUAGCAUGGAAAACCUGCAUUGCACAUCGCGGUGUUUGCCAUGCUUCACUGUCCUUCGGGGCCGUGAGUGGGGGAAUUUUUGAUACCACAUACACAUUUUUCGUUGUGAG